rnacentral:tRNA from 1 species
UCUCUUGAAGACGAGUGGUUAUGCCACAGCGCUCUCACCGCUGCGGCCCGGGUUCGGUUCCCGACCACGGAA